rnacentral:rRNA from 1 species
CUGCUGCCUCCCGUAGGAGUUUGGGCCGUGUCUCAGUCCCAAUGUGGCCGUUCACCCUCUCAGGCCGGCUACUGAUCGUUGCCUUGGUAGGCCAUUACCCCACCAACUAGCUAAUCAGACGCGGAACCAUCGUAUACCACCAGAGUUUUUCACACCGCUUCAUGCGAAGCUGUGCGCUUAUGCGGUAUUAGCACCUAUUUCUAAGUGUUAUCCCCCAGUAUACGGCGGGUUUUCCACGCGUUACUCACCCGUCCGCCACUAA